AAGCGCUGCUUCAGCUUGCCCAGCUCCUGGCGCAGCAGGUCUUCGUAGGGCAGCUCCACCGAGGAGAAGACCACGGCGCCGAACACCAGAAUAAGGUGACGCAGUGUGAAGCAGGAGAAUGAAUUUCAUUCAGUGCAGGAUGUGAUGAGUUCAAGGAGAAGCCCAGAUGUCGGGUGUUGAAGCUCUCCCUCAGGGCUCCUGGAGACACUUUUUGAUGUGGAGUGCCUGGCUAGAGCUCAGAGCAACAUCCAAGGUGAAUACAAAUGCGCUGUGCAGCCAGCCCUCUGUGUAGCCCCGGCCAGCGAUCUUCACAAGUUUCACUCUGAAUGCUUCUUUCUUCAUCCAUCUCGAACUCCAACCAGCAACCACACAGUAAACUCGCUAGAUGAGGUUCCCCACCAGAUGAAAAGGAGCAGUAAAAAUUACAGCUUCCCAAAACAUCCCUUAGGGUGAAUAAAGACAGCUUCUAGUAAAGGAGAGAAAGUUCCUUGGUCACAAAGUUCUGUCACGGCCCUUUCCCUCAGCUGAUGGCAAUUUAUACAGACAUAAAGGAGUAACUUGCUAAUUAGAAAUUUACUAGGCCUGAGCCAGGGAGUUUGGACAGAGUAAGUAAAAUCCAGCAACCUGUCUUAAGCUGUGAGGUACCCCUCUAAGCUUUAAGGACAACUGUGGGAAAAGAAUAGGGAAAUGAAAAGCAAAAAACAAUUCUUCAGGCUAAAAACUUAAAACUGUAUGUCAACAUUCCCUUUUAUACAACAGCUACAUGAAGCAAUGGGAUAAAACUGGCCUGACAGAACAGCUGUCAGGUUCCUGGUCUAUUCCCCACUGCCAGCUCGGCUGGGUCAUUCCAGGGCCUUCAACACAUCCCCCACCCCUAUGUUUCAUUAAAAUGUAAAUGUGCUCUUACAUGCAAGCUGCUUGAAUAACCAUUCAGCAGAGCACUUGGGGGAUGUGGGAGGUGCACAGGGGAAGGGCUGAGCGGGCAGACUCCCCAUGACGUGCUGGGAGAGCACGUGUGGUAUUCGUGAUAGGCAGUGGUCAUGUCUUUGCUAUAAAACAGUAUUUUCCCAACCUUCAAGCCAAAUAUUUGUUUAAAGGUUAGAAAAUAUUUGCCUAAGAACACUCCUCUUUUCAGUUAUAGGAAACUGUGGCUGGGUAAGCUGAACAGUUUUAUUUACCAGCCUCCUUCAGUUUUCCAUUUUUAUGAAUCAGUCAUUCUCCAUUUUUAGAAGCCUUUCACACUUGGAGGCUUGCUGGGCUGAAGAGAAAAGGAGGACUCUGCUGAACAGAGCCUGCAAUACUCUCUUCUCAAUUUUUAUCCCCAAAGCAUUUUAGAGGGAUGGGCUGAGGGGAAUAAUGGCAGAGCAUCGCAGCUGUGUCACCAAAACAUUCAGUUCUUGCUUCCAAAGCAAACAUCUGGACAGUCUGAGUUUCAGCCACCGUUAUUGAUAUUCAUAUUUUAACUCAAAAUACUUAAUAUAACUGAUAACUUAAUUAUAGAUUUCUUUGGGAUAGAAAGAUGUCUUCAUAUUCAGUUUUCUGAUUUUCAGUGAUUGUAUUUUCCAUGAUAAUAUCACAUGUGAAUGUGGUUAUGGCAUUCCAGCUUCAUUCCACAGCAUGCUAUAUCCAUUUUCAUGUUUUCCUAGUCAAAGAUUAGGCUAGUCAAGGAUUCAGUGUACUGAAUUCUGUGUUAAGUGCCAUAUAACAGGACAUCACAACAUGCUUCGUCAGGGAGUGACUGAAACUGGAGAGCAGGCUGUUACAGAACAGCCUUUCCCCAGCACAAAUUUCACUCUCUGGUGAUCAUCCCUCUUAAUAAAACAUGAAUCCAGUUAAUAAAGUGUGCCACGUCAUCACAUUGCUUGUCCACCAGCAGUGCUCUGUGGUGACUGGGCUCCUUACUGUUGAAGACCAGCUGCAAGCAGAGUGAAGAAACCCACUGUUGGUAGAUUCUGGUGUUCUCCAUUGCACAAACCUCCCUCUGAGCUACAGAAAAUGCAAACACAGGCUGCCAGUCUACAUGGGCAGAAAAGAAGGCAGACAUUCUAAUCCAUCAUAGAACUGAAACAGAAACCACAGUUGUGUCCUGGGGUGCUAGAAAACCACAGAGAAAGUUAGUAGUCUCCAAGCCUGCUGCCAAGGGAGGUAGGGCAACUCCCCUAUCACAUCACUGGGCUGGCAGCUUCUAUAGCAUAGUCCAGAGGCUGAGAAAAUCCUCUCUUGUACGUAAGAAGGGUAAGACCCUUUCAGAACUGUAUGAAUCACCAACAUUUUCAGUUGGGAGAAGUGAAAUUGAAGUAAAGAGGCUUUGUGUUAAUGGCAGUCUGCUCUUCUCUGAGAUUUUUGGUCAACUAGAAUAAUCUUUAAUUACUGAAACAUUUCCAAUGAAAUGUGAAGUGGUUGAAGAGGGAUCACUGGACUCUAGUCUUUUAUCCAUUGACUGAAAAUGACAACUGAUAAAAAUAGUUGCUUCAGUGAAAAGCAAGAAUAGCUUACAGCAGUGCUCCAGUGCCCAGAGCCUGAGCCAGAAAACAGGUCUGUGCUGGGUGCCAUAGGCCAAAGAGGAGAUUUGACAUGGGGGGUUCUGCUGCUGUUAUCGCUGAGUACUAGUCUGUGAGCAGGAAUAAGUCUGAGGAAAGGGAAACACCCAUGUUUGGCAUGUUACUUAUAUCAAGAUUAUAAAAUAUUUUCAGCACCAGAAAGAAAACUGAAAAUGACUCAUAUGCACCGAAACUUCAAGCUGACUGAAAGGAUUAUUUCUUUUCCUUUUUAUUUUUUUCCCCCAAAAGAGUAGUCUUGUAGCCAGAUCGCUACAGUCUUGGAAGAGUAAGCCCUUCUCAUUAUGUUGGAGAACCUUAAAUGCUAGAAACUGGGUAAAUAAAAUUAGUUACCAGGCAAUACUUAUCCUGCCAAACCUGUUCUGCUCUGGCAUACCUACAGCAUGACCUCACAGUACAAGGAACAGAGGAGGUGGUGGUGAGGAACGGUGGGAUGAACCAGGACAGUGUGGGAGGCAAUAAAAACUUAAGUGGGAAGAACAUGAGGCAGUAUCAAAGCUGUGUCACCCUGACAGCUGAAUAUUGAAUAGCAGCAGGGAACUGAUUUGUCCUUCAUUACCUUUCUUCAGAUUAGCUUGGAUAUAAAUUCAGGGGUUAUGGCAAGUUUGAAGUCUGACUGAUCAGUCCUAAAUUAUGUAUACAUGAAGAAAGAUUGCCAUAAAUGUGAGGUUCUCUGAAUUCACUUCUAUUAGUGAUUCUGCCCCUAGAAAAUAUUUUUAAUGAAACUGGUAAGAAGUAGAAUCCUUUAUGAUUUGCUCUAUCUGUUAAGUGAAGGCUGUAACAUAAUACAUUUCCUUUUAUAGAAGAAAAUUUUUCUGAUCAAUUGUUUCUAAAUACUCAAUUUGUGAGCUUUUGCAGAAAUUAGUACAAGCUUGGCUAGUGGCUCUGAUUAAAUGUCAUGGCCCUGUGGGCAGGCAGGAUAUGAAUUAAAAGAAUCACAUCCUCACAGGCACUGACACAAAUGUAGUUAAGUUGAGAAGCAGUCAGAUGGGUUGCCAUGUGUUCCCUUUCCAAUAGGUAAGGUGUUCUAUUUUGGCUAAAUGGAAUCAUCUAGAUUUGGGUCAAAUAAAGUAAAACUUAUAAAAGUUGAAACAACAGAGCCUGACUUUUCAGGGAAAAAAGUAAUCUGUGAAUAGGGGAUGCAUUCCCCUCUUAAUUUGGCAGGAGGAUGGAGAUGGAAUAAGAGAGUACAGAUGUAUUUAGGUCUUUAAAGUUCAUCAGCAGCCAUACUGGUGACAGUAGAUACAUUGCUAUGGAAGAAAAAGAGUCAGCAAAAUCUGUCUCCACACUCAUGCCAUUUCCAACAAAACCUGCCUGGCUAAAUUCUAUUUGAGAGGGAAGGGAGAAGGAUUGAUAUUUAGUGGUUUCCUCAAAAAAAUACAUUUUAUGCUGUUUACUUAAUGGUGCAAUACUGUCCAAAAAUGUUAAGACCACUGAUGUGUGAUAACAAAGGAAUGAAUCUGCCCAGUUUGGAACUGUAUUUAGAGGAAGGUUUGCAUCAUGAAGUAGUAGUGUUUAGAAUCAAGGAAGUUUAUAUGCAUGGUCAGGCACCGUUUCUUUCAUGAGUGAGUCAUCCUUGCUCAGCGUAAAUAUGAUUUUCCUUAGAGCUGCAAUAAGUAUUCAUAUUUAACCAAUGAUCUUGAUGUCCAGGUAGGAUAACUGAUAGAUAAGUCUUUUAUUAAGAAAAGCAUUUUAUGUUAUGGGAAAAGCAAUGUCAUGUAUAUUUGCCAUCAGGUUUAUCAGUGACAUUUUCCAGAAAGCAGCUGGGUUUCUCUAAGAGAUAUAGGUCCAGUGAGGAUGAGGGCUGCAUAUAUGUGCAUAAAUGCACACACCCAUGUAUAUACAUAUAUGGUCUUAUAUAAUAAUAUAUAUAGCCUGCUUCUUCAAACUCCUCACUAUUAUAUUCCAAGUUGUGCCAUAUCUUUGUAGAAAGGUGAUUACCUGUUAUUUGUAGGAUUGUGUUAACACUAAAGAAAUGGACUAGUUCAGAGAAUUCAGGAUGUCAACCUGAAUGACCUUUUUAGACAAUUACAUUAAAUAAAAUUCAAUGUUUUCAAUAAAGUGAUCUUGCCCUCCUAAGUCUGCUGGGCAACAGUCACCCAGCAGAACUGGUUUUUUUAAUCUCUUGUUCAAGAUGUUGAAAAGACAAAUGGUUGAUAUCCUUAAUACUUUGUACUGAAAAAUAGGAAAUCAAAUUACAAAAUACUUUAUAUCUCUUCCAUAUACUCUGUAGAAUUUUUGGCCUUCUUCCCCCAGCUUUGCAGUCUGAUCUUAAAGGUGGUUAUGGUGGGAACUAAAAGAAUGCAAUAGCUGAAGUGGGCUCACAACUGGGUGUCCAAGCCUCCAGCCUGAUCUUACCAGUUCUGGCACCAGUUUUGGUUUUGUCUUGAAGAUGUUGUGCCAGUUCUUGGGCACCCAGGAAAUGAUGGUGACAGAAAAGCCUGCCAGUUUUCUCUGAGCCGGUUUCAAAACAUACAGACCUAGAAUGGAUUACACUGUCUGUAAUUACUUUUUACAGUAGCUGAGCUGUAUUUUCAUGGUUUCUGAUUUUGGCUAACUGGGGCCCAGUCCCAGUCUUAGUUUAGUGGUGCUGUUGGGCAAUAGUGGUACAUCCUUUUGCCUCUUCUAAUUCGGUUUGCAUCACUGUACUUGUUGUAAAAUCAAUUUUAUUCAACAGGCUGAGUUGAACUUGUAUUACAGUGGCAGACAAAAGCUUGGACCCAGCAGUGGUGAGGUUCUUUCUGACAGCUCACGCACCCGCUUACCCAUUCACGGAAAGGUCACAUUAACUUGUCAAAACAGCUCUCAGCUUCAGCUCCAUUUGACUCUGUGUUCCUGGCCCCCAGGACGUGUACACAGCACAGCACUGGCCUCCUUGCCCUGGGCUGUGAGUUUGGAUGGAACAAUAUGUGCACGCUUGGACAGGAUGUACUGGGGCCAGGUCUGGACACUGACUGCUCUCUGACUCUGCCUUAGGCAGCUGGGCUCCAGCGACUGGAGAUGUGUCUGAGGCUGUUAUCCUUUGUAGCAGUGAAUGUCUUCAUGCCUGCAAUGCAUUGCUUCCAGCCCAUAGGAGACCUAGUGGAUACUGCACAUCACCUCCAGGCCAAGAUACUUCGCUAAAGUAGGGAAGUCUGGUGCUGGAUGUGGCUGCCUGCAUGUGGAUCAUACAGGGCAGGUUCUUAGGAUGGGUUUCAGAUGCUGCCCAGAUGCUGCCCAAGAAGUAAUCAGCUGUGGAAGGAGUAGGGUUAAAGAUCCUGGGAAGGAUCUCUCCUGCUGCAUCCAUAGCUGAUAGCUAGGAUGUACUGCAGCUUGGCUUUUUAGGGCUCUAGGCUCCUAGAGAGCAAUCCUAAUGAGAGGCACAUCUUUGCAGUCUCUAAUACAUAAAAUAUGUUCUUACCCAGAUACUCAGGCAUGAAAACACCACUUGUGUCUGACCUGGUGUAUUUCCUGUGCUGUUUGAAUCCUACAUUUUAAAGGAGCUUAAUGUUUAACUGUAGGCUGGCAUAAGUUCCAAUGCUUCCCUGAAAAUGUCCCAGCAGGAUGGAGAAACCCAGGCAACCUCUUUCCUAGGCACAGGUGUUACAGCCAGCAGCACGUGGUUGGGGGGGGAGCACUGAAACAGGCACCCUUCUCUCAUCAUUCCUGCAGGGCAAAUCCACGUGUUUCUGUGGUUGGUCCUGAUAGCUAAUAGUUCUUCUCUGGGAGUGCAGCACAAACCAACACACUGUAGCAGAUACCCUCAGCUGUGGCAUUUAUUCCUUGUAGCUGAAGGCCUGCAUUAGCACAAUGAGGUUAGUAGGAGUUACUGCCUGCCAAUGAGAAGUAAAACCAGGCAAAACCGUCUAAUUUGUGAUACUCCCACCUAGCCAUGCUAUUUGGACAGGUCUAUUUUCCAGGCAACAUUUCUGCCUCAGUAGUGUUAAAUUUUAGUAAGUGCUGUUCAUUGCCUCACUGAACCAGUGUCUGGAACAGCCCAUGGGUACUAUUGCCACAUGCACUGCUAUAAUGAACACCAAAGCCUAUUUCAGUGACCUGAAUCUUUUGAAAAUUUAGUCCUUUAUUUUUAUCCACAUAGAGGGAGCACAAGCUACAGUGUCCUACUUUAUCUCAACUGUGUCAUCUGACUCAUCAAUCAAAACUGAGACUGAAUCUUAUUAUCACCCACUGACUUUCAAUCAACCUCACAAACUGAUCAGGAGUACAAAAGAAAGGUUUUGUCACUCAGCUCUAUAUCUUUGCAAAUCUUGAGUCAUGUGACAUAUUAUAAAGUUUACAAAAUACAAUUUCAGCAAGGCCAAAUCCUGAACUCUUCCUUGGGAAGUUACACUUAGAAUGGACAUCACAGGACAGAGAAAAAAUUCCAUGAGGUAAGACAACUUUAAUAUGAGCUUUUAUACUAUUUGGUUGCUUAACUUUAAAUAUAAUACAAUAGUAAUAUUGUUUUAUCCACUUCCAUCAGGGUCCACUGUAUGUUCUUAUAACAUUUACCAGAUACAGAAAUAUAAAUGGUAUUUGGCCUACAAGCUGUCAAAGAAAUGGCUGAAGAUGUAGGCCUAUCUAGAAUAAUCUCCAUUAAAAACCUGACAGUUUUUCCCCCUGUAUUUUCAAAAAUACAUGAAGCAAUUUAAAAACAACAUCCCACCACCACCCUUACUACCAAAAUCUGGUUUUCUUGUUAUGGCAAAACAAGUGUCAGUGACCUGGUCCUAUUCUCACUCAUGAGACAUAUAUAGGAAACAAUUACAACACAUGCUAGAAGAUCAUUCCUUCCUUCCUCUUCCUUAGAAACUCUUUCCCAGAAUCCAGUCUGCUAUCCUUCAAAAAGUCUUCAGUCUGGCAAAGAAUAAAGAAUAAAAGACUGAAAUAUCCCAGUUUCCAGGGAAAACAGCCCACAUUUCUCACUGUGCCGUUUGUCUUCUGAUAUCUCACACCUGAUUUUAAGACAGAUCUACAAAAAAGUUGAAAAGAUGUUAGGUUGGGAUUUUCUUUUUCUGCUGCAUUGUGAUUGUCUCUACCUCCCCAACUUCUUUGUUUAAACUAGUCUUACCUGUGCCUCUUCUUGGUCCUAGUCCUCUUCUCCUACACAUGCCAUAAAGUGAAUUUAGGACUAUAUAUUCAUAAACAGAAAAAUGAAAUAAAAUUAACACUAUGUAUAUUUUUUAAGCUAUCCUUUUAUGAAUGAAGUCCUAAGCAUCACCUCAGUGCGAACAAUUAAUGAUCAAAUCUUAAACCAGGAUAUAGAAUUGACCAUUAGAAUAGGUUUUCCAGUGAAACUGAAUUGGUGUUAAAUUAAUUUUGGGACAGUCUAGUAUUAGGAAUGAUCUUGUUAACAGGUUUUAUGCUUUGGAUGAACCUGUUUCCAAGUCAACAUCAUACAUCCCAUGAACAUAAAACCAAUCAAAAUAUUAAUGUUUAUUGUAAAGUUAUAACUAAUAGUAAUCAGAUGUAUUGCCACAAUGACAAUUACAUUUAUUUUGUGCUCGUUAAGUAAAAGGAAAUGUUUUUCUAGGUAGUGCAGAGAAGGAAAGAUGAAAGAGAAACCCUAAUAUUAUUGUUUGUUGGAGUAAAUUUUAAUAUCAUUAGUUAAAUAUUCACAUUGUACUGAUGUCUUUUAUUUCACUACAGUUAAAUUUUUACCAUGUUGAGUUUGACUAUAAAAUACAAAGGCUUUCAUAUUCUGUGUGCCUGCCAUACUACAUUAAAUGUCCCUUUUUGAAAAAAGCAUUAUUAAUAGAGUGCAAUUUACCUGGAAGAAUACAAAACACUGUUGAUGAACAAAAAUAAAUCUGCUGAUGAAACUCAGUACAUCCAAAAUCUAUUACUGAAUUGAAAAGGACAUUAUUGUUUCCAGAUAAGUAACUUAGGGGCUGUAUACUCUUCUUUAGUUAAUCUGAGCUUUGAUUAACAUAAUGUAAUAUAAAACAUAGUACAUUCCAAGGAGUGAAACCAGAAGCAUCAGACUGGAAUAAAAUAAUGUUUCAGCAAGAUUUUUGUGACAAUAGUGCAUGGUGAUACGUAUUUAACAUUAAGCUUCACUGAUGCUAAUCAUUUAGGUUGGUGCUGAGUAGACCCCUCAGUCCUCAAAGGAUUCUCAGUCCUGUUUCACAAGGGAAACAAGCAUGAGAACUCAAGGAGAAUAUGCAGCAAGCAGCUAGAGGCUCAAUGAUCUCCUGUCAGAAUUUCAGUAGGGACAAAUCUCCCCUAGCUAAGACCAGUGAAAGGAUCUUGUGGAGUUGCCUCAAAGGUUUGAGGCAACUAGAAGAGAAAUACUAUUUGUCAGGUAAAAAUUGUUACGAGAAUCACACAAUGGGUGAAGUUGUAUGGGAUUAUUGAUGAAGAAAAUGAUGAUGGUUAUUCCUGCUAUCCAAAACCAUAGCUAUGUUGAAUAUUUAUAUCCUCAUGCUAUUAUCAAAUCUAUUCAGCCUUUAAAUUUAUCUAAUAUAUGAUAUUACUGCACCAUAAUUACUGAACAAUUUAAUAAUUUUUAGCACUGAAAAGAGAGAAAGUUUCAGUGCUUUAAAUCUCCUGACAGCUUGUGAGUGAGGAAAUCCUGGUUUUCUGAUUUUACAUCUAAAAAAUGGAGUCAUAGAAACAGAAGAUCACUUUCUGAAAGCUGGUCACCAUGAGAUGGGGAGAGGCAUUUAAUGACGUAGUCAGGAGUGCCAGCAAACCCCUACUGACACCGUUAGGAAUUGACAUGUACAGCUGAUAGCAGUACUUUUUGCAAUCUCAUGAAGGACUUGCCUGCCUCCCAAACCUCUAAUCCCCAGUGACUGAAGUCACUGCCUGGAGGAGAAAAUGAUGAUGGAAUCAGUUUCCUGCUGCCUGGAAAUAAAAUCUAUGUGCAAAGCACAGGGAAAGUGUAUUUUACUACAGCAUGGGAAAGCAUGUCUGAUUUCCAAGCUGGCCUCUGCCAGAAGGUUUUGUUCCCUGGCAGGAUCUUACCUUGCUCCUUCUCUGGGCGACACUCUUUACCUGUCAGUAAUUCCUGCAGGAUUUUCUGAAUGUUUGUUAGCAUGCAGGCAUGUCCAAAACUCAUCCCUGUCCCAGCUGCUCUGAUGCCAGUCACCACCAGCCUUUUCUACACGGCACCCUCCCCUGCUAAUGAUUCAGCAAAUGUUACCCCCCACUAAAGAACAACAUUUGUUUCCAGCUUAAAUGGGAAAGGAUGAAGAAUCCUAUCGGCGUGCAGUCCUCACCUUCCAGCACAGCACCUCAGGCAGAGCUGGCCUGAGUGACUUCCCGUGGUGUCUGGGCUGUGGUGGAAAUGCUGGACCUAUGCCAGGGACACUGCAGCUGCUGGCUUGCUGCCUUCUCCUCAUGUGGCAUCAUGUGGCUCAUGUAUGGUUUCCCACAGGCAAAGGGGACAACAGGCCUGAAGGACCAUUGCAUAAAAGAACCUGUAACAGCUCAGGAAAGCCAAGAGUCUUGCGGUUAAACACCAGUUCUGAAACUUAAAGAUAGAAACUCCAAAAUUUUUAGCCACAGGCUUCUUUCUGCUUAGACAUUCCCAUCUAUAUUCUGUGAUAGAUAGCCAUAAUUUUGGGAGAACAAAAUGGGCUGUUACUACAGGGUCAUAUAAAUCCUCCCUGUCUUCUGGGAAGUUGAGACUGAAAAAUAAUCUGGAUGUAACUAUCCUAAAACAUUAAACAUUUAUGAAAAAUAUAUAUCAUGGCAUUUUACAUACAAUUGUGCAAUAUACUUUUGUGACUUUCCUCCCAAGGCAUUUCUUUUAGAUAUUAAAUUGAUGAAAAAUGGUGAGAUGCUUCACAGCAAGAAGAGAUCUCUCCUCCAGCCCCCCAAAUGAACUCCCUAAGACAUAUUUCUUCUGCUUCAUGUUAAAGCAGAAAACUGCAUUUCCACCUCAUCAUUUUGUAUUGUAGUGGUUCUGGUUAUGAAAAUGGAAUAAUCGAGAAAGCUAUUUUAAAAAUAACUUCACUAAACUAUAGAAGAAAUUAUAUUGUCUGCUGAGUUAGAAAAUCUGUCUAUAAUUAGAUUUAAAUGUCACUCCUUUCAGUGCAUUUUAGCAUUUCUGCAGACUGUAAUCCUUAUGAAGUACAUAGUUCCAGAGUAUAGCCUUCCUCUUUUGAAAAUUAUGAUCCUAUGGCAAGCUUUCAGGAUAUUGUCUUUAUAUCAGCUGUAAAAGAUAAUCUAAUGGUUGAUGCAGUCUCAUUCCUGUGGCAUAAUUUGUUUUCAUUUGCUUUUCUCUAUGUAUUGUGUGUUGUAAGAUUGUAAUAUUGUGAGGAAAAUUAUUCAUCUGUAGCUAAGGAUAGUACAGAAUUUUACUAUAAAUGUCUCUAUUUUGUAUUUUACAAGUGAUGCUUGUGUAUAUGAAGUGCUAUUUAGUCUACAUAAAGAGCAGUGGAAUUUCAGCAACUGUAGUAUUUUUCUCAUUCUGCAAUCUUACUGUAUGAAUAAAGAAAAAAAAAAUAUUGGUAA